GCCCGCCUAGCUCAAUCGGAUAGAGCGUCAGACUCUUACGAGUGCGGGUGAUCUGAAGGCUGCGAGUUCGACCCUCGCGGUGGGCU
rnacentral:tRNA from 1 species